CCACGGGAGGCAGCAGUGGGGAAUAUUGCACAAUGGGGGAAACCCUGAUGCAGCGACGCCGCGUGAGUGAAGAAGUACUUCGUUAUGUAAAGCUCUAUCAGCAGGGAAGAAAAUGACGGUACCUGAGUAAGAAGCCCCGGCUACCUACGUGCCAGCAGCCGCUGUACUACGUAGGGGGCAAGCGUUAUCCGGAUUUACUGGGUGUAAAGGGAGCGUAGACGGCAGUGCAAGUCUGGAGUGAAAGGCGGGGGCUCAACCCCCGGACUGCUGUGGAAACUGUACGGCGGGAGUACAGGAGAGGUAAGUGGAAGUCCUAGUGUAGCGGUGAAAUGCGUAGAUAUUAGGAGGAACACCAGUGGCGAAGGCGGCUUACUGGACUGUAACUGACGUUGAGGCUCGAAAGCGUGGGGAGCAAACAGGAUUAGAUACCCGGGUAGUC
rnacentral:rRNA from 1 species